CAGGGAAUCUUGGGCAAUGGGCGAAAGCCUGACCCAGCGACGUCGCGUGGAGGAAGAAGGCUCUAGGGCUGUAAACUCCUUUUCCAGGGGAAGAGUAAGGACGGUACCUUGGGAAUAAGCUCCGGCUAACUACGUG
rnacentral:rRNA from 1 species